rnacentral:rRNA from 1 species
AAAUUGAAGAGUUUGAUCAUGGCUCAGAUUGAACGCUGGCGGCAGGCCUAACACAUGCAAGUCGAACGGUAGCACAGAGGAGCUUGCUCCUUGGGUGACGAGUGGCGGACGGGUGAGUAAUGUCUGGGAAACUGCCCGAUGGAGGGGGAUAACUACUGGAAACGGUAGCUAA